rnacentral:sRNA from 1 species
CAAUUGGUCGCAGGUUCGAAUCCUGCACGACCCACCAAUUUAACAUCAAACUCAGAUGUUGAACGUGAAGGAUAGCGUUGCGUCAGCAACGGCCCGUAGGGCAAGGCGAAGCCGAGUCAUCCUGCACGACCCACCA